UACGUAGGCAGCAAGCGUUGUUCGGAGUUACUGGGCGUAAAGGGUGUGUAGGCGGUUGUUUAAGUUUGGUGUGAAAUCUCCCGGCUCAACUGGGAGGGUGCGCCGAAUACUGAAUGACUUCGAGUGCGGGAGAGGAAAGUGGAAUUCCUGGUGUAGCGGUGAAAUGCGUAGAUAUCGGGAGGAACACCUGUGGCGAAAGCGGCGCACUGGACCAUAACUGACGCUGAGGCGCGAAAGCUAGGGGAGCAAACAGG
rnacentral:rRNA from 1 species